rnacentral:misc_RNA from 1 species
UGCCAUUCCUUCAUUCAAUGACAACGCACUCAAACUCAAGAAAAAGCUUUCUAAUUGCCUUUCCUGUUAUCAAGUUCGGAGGUGGUGUGCUUUUGAAUGGUUGUACAGUGCAAUUGAUUACCCAUGGUUCGCUAAAGGGGAGUUUUGUGGAACACCUGGAUCAUGUUGGAUUGGGCCAUAUUCCAAGAUUAACUCAUGUUUGAAUAGGGUGUCAUAAGGAGUUCCCUUGGUAAAACCACGUAGAUUUUCAGAGCAAUUUUUGAAGGAAGAGAAAGAGAAGCUUAAUCAAUACUGGGAAUCUGUCAGAAAACAUUACACAGAACUUCGUGCUGGU